AAGGGUCCGAUUUCUCAUGAGCUGCUGAACCACAGAUUUUAGAGCUGAAAGACACCCUGCAAGUGAUCUAAUCCAGUCAUCAGAUGUUGCAGUUAUAAGCCAUAGGCGGGUAAAUGUGGACCUGGGAAAAUGCAGACCAACACCUUGCUGGAGUGCAAAGAGCCCCUAGCCAAUUCCUAGGCCUUUGAGAAAACCUGGAAAAAUUAACACUUGAAAUAAAUUUUGAAGAACAAGGAAAAGUUAUUGACCUAAAGGCUGACAGGGAGGAAUUCUGGAAGGAAGGAACAGCUCACUUGCUUGGAGCAAGAAGGAGAACAGACAUAAAACAUAACUGGAAGCUGUGAUGCUCCAAAAAUAUCACAGGAUCGGAUGACACGAAAACCUUCACCAAACUUGGGACCAUGACACCAUUCACACCUGGAUGUGCUGAAAUGGAGGAAACAGCAAGUCAAUAUUUAAUAAAUUUUUACUAAAGACUCUGUGCUAUGCAAGACUCCAAAUAGUAUAAAAUACUGCCCUUACCUUCAUUGAGCUUACCAGCUAGGUGAGUGCUACCCAUUAAGUGAAAGACUAAACGCUAAAAAAGCUGAACAAUAAAGUAGGUAUAUGUAUAAUACAAUCCUAGCUUUUUAAAACAGAAAGGUAUAUAUGCAUAACAAGAAAA
rnacentral:lncRNA from 1 species